UAACUUACUUGGCGCGGAGGACACCGUGAUCACCAAGGCGGUUCCUCCUAGGUGAGGCCCAGCCAUUGCACCCCGGCUAGGUUGACCCUUGCGAAUACUCCUAACGUGGGUAUAUCGAGCGCAAAAUUUUUGAUAGUCGGGAUCUGCGUUCGCGCUGUCCCGGA
rnacentral:snRNA from 2 species